rnacentral:rRNA from 1 species
AAACCGUUCAGGGGUAAACCUAAGAAACCCAAAAGAUCGAACGGGGAGAUUCAUCGUCAGCGGCGCGGGCUUCGCGUCGGCGGGCGAUGCCCCGCGCGGCUUGCCGGCGUAAGCUCGGCUCGCCGGCGCGCGGGCACGCUGCCGCGCGCCGAUGUCCCGCCGCCGUCGUCGUGCACUUCUCCCCCAGUAGGACGUCGCGACCCGCUGGGUGUCGGCCUACGGCCCGGGUGCGGUGUCUGCCGCGUCGCCGGUAAAACGGCACGCGGCAAACCCCCGAUCGCCCGGCCGGCUGCCCGGCGGUAGGCCAAAACGGUACCAGGCCGCGCCGCGGGCGCGUCGAGCCCGUCGCAAGCGUCGGCCACGCACCGGAGGUACGGACCCAGCCGCCGUCCCCGCCGUGCUGGCCCGCUUCGUUACGGUGCACCUUCGACGGGCCUCUCCGCGCGCGCGCCGCCCGUGCUUCGGCGCGGGUGCGCGGGCGCGCGGACUACCGGUCGGCGACGCUACUGCUUUGGGUACUCUCAGGA